AUCCUUCACCAACUGCACCGCCUAAGAAGCUGGGACAUGCCAGUGAGGCAUUGCUUCAGGUCCUUCAGCCAACAGAGGAUCCCACCAUCUACCUCCAGAAGAGAGCUCUCUGCACCCCUGUUUUGCUCUUUGAUGGAUCCAGCUGUCUUGUCGCAAUUGGAACUACUCCCUACCCAACACCGCAUUUGCCAAGGAAUACCUCAGUGAAGUUGCAGGUGUCCGGAUCCAGACAUGAUGGAGAAACACCCAGAACAUUUCAACGAGAGUGAAAUAAACUGGACGUGUGACAGCUUUUCUUCUCUGGGCCUUGCUUUUGUGAUGAAUAAAUACAUUUGGAAU